rnacentral:misc_RNA from 1 species
UGGUUGGAUCCCUGCUUGGGCAGCGACAUCCCCCGUGCAAGCCUCUUCAAUUUUCGGCCCAAGGGCARCUUAGCCUUGGCCGUGUGUCGGUUUCCUGUGUUGUGUACCUACUAGAAUGGAAUUCGAAUGUGAGAUGCUUUCUUAUUCGCCUUGUGCUGUCCCAUCGGUUGUCCCUUUGGGGGUGCGGUGUCGGGUGAACCUCGAAGUCAUCUUCAUGUUCUUCGUCUCGCACGGAAUGUGUUGUUGGCGCGGCCCAUGAAGAUUGCUUGAGCUCUCGGAUACGGAAUAUGCGGAGGGUAGUAGGCUUACGGCCUCACUUUGCCCGAACUAAGCGUUUAUUCGCUCAUUACCGAACGACUGCCGGCGGUGCCUUGACGUGCUGGAGCCCUUGGGUUUUGGCACCGUCAUGCUCUGCCGGCGUCAGUAAGGAAUGCUACCUGGUUGAUCCUGCCAGUAGUCAU